rnacentral:rRNA from 1 species
UACAGAGGUCUCAAGCGUUAAUCGGAAUUACUGGGCUUAAAGGGUCCGCAGGCGGACCAGCAAGUACCUUGUGAAAUCUCAGGUCUCAACCCUGAGUCUGCUGGGUAGACUGCUGGUCUUGAGUGCAAAAGGGGUCGCUGGAAUUCUAGGUGGAGCGGUGAAAUGCGUAGAUAUCUAGAGGAACGCCAAAGGUGAAGACAGGCGACUGGUUUGCAACUGACGCUCAUGGACGAAAGCGUGGGGAUCAAACGGG